rnacentral:rRNA from 1 species
AUUGAACGCUGGCGGCAUGCCUUACACAUGCAAGUCGAACGGCAGCGGGGGAGAAGCUUGCUUUUCCUGCCGGCGAGUGGCGAACGGGUGAGUAAUACAUCGGAACGUGCCCUGUAGUGGGGGAUAACUAGUCGAAAGAUUAGCUAAUACCGCAUACGACCUGAGGGGGAAAGUGGGGGACCGCAAGGCCCCAUGCUAUAGGAGCGGCCGAUGUCUGAUUAGCUAGUUGGUGGGGUAAAGGCCUACCAAGGCGACGAUCAGUAGCUGGUCUGAGAGGACGAUCAGCCACACUGGGACUGAGACACGGCCCAGACUCCUACGGGAGGCAGCAGUGGGGAAUUUUGGACAAUGGGCGAAAGCCUGAUCCAGCAAUGCCGCGUGUGUGAAGAAGGCCUUCGGGUUGUAAAGCACUUUUGUCCGGAAAGAAACGGCUCUGGUUAAUACCUGGGGUCGAUGACGGUACCGGAAGAAUAAGGACCGGCUAACUACGUGCCAGCAGCCGCGGUAA